GGUCGCACUCCUAUAGUACAUAUGAACGUACCAUUGACAACCAUUACCAUGGGAUUUCUGAUACUGAACUCACUCAGCGUAAAAUAUUUAUUUGUCAGGCCAUCCAUCCUCACUGCUUCAUCUCCCACGCAAAUACCUGACAGGAUAUCUGUCCACCCUUACUGUUAUGACUUUCCCACUAUUGUUUAUCCCAUGUAUAACUAUGCAAAAU